UUGUGUUUGUAUAACAUCUUCCAAUAUAAUAAUACCUGACUAUGAAAAGACAAUAGUUUGCAUUUUAAUUCUGAAGGCUCAAAAUCACACCUCAAAAGGAAAUCAAGGCCCCAAAAAAUUCAAAAAUGUUAUAAGAAAAACAAGACCAAACCGACUGAUCAUUUCUAAGGAAAGUUUGGAGCCACUUCAAUUUGAGAGUCCCAUUCAUGACAUCGAAAUCAAUUAUAUUCAACCCACCCCCACUUAUUGGCUUCACUAAAUCUCCUUUUCUUAUAUAAUGGUGUGUUUUUUUUCCCCAAAUAAAGUUAUACUGAAGUUGGUUAAUAUCUUAUAUACACUUGUCAGUGAUACUUGGAGUAUGCUGGAUAAAUAAGCCUAGAAAGAGCUUCGGUUUUCUGAAUGAGAAUUCUACCAAAAAUAGAAAUAUCCCUUUGUAACCACAAGUUUAAUUUGUUUUGAAUUUUUUUUCACAUUGUCGACCAGAUUCAGUUUUUCUCUAAUUUUAGUAUCUUUUGUAAUAACAAUUCCCAAAUAUUUUAAUUCAUUUUUUAACGGAAUACUGAACAAAUGAGAAUCUGUAUGAUCAUGAAUUGCGAUCAGCUCACACUUUUUUAAAUUCAAUCAUAAGCCUGAAGCGUUUAAAAAAUGAAACACCAAAUUAAUGGCCACUGGAAUCUGCUCUGCAUUACUAAGAAACAAAGUAUUAUCGUCUGCCAAUUGACUUAUUAAUACAUGACUACCUAAAACAUUCAAGGGCUUGAUCUCUACUAUUUUUAACAUAAAUUGUUAACAGUUCAGCUACUAAGAUAAAUAAAUAUGGACUUGUUGGAUCCCCGUCUAAUACCCCUAUUAAUGUUAAAAAGCUUAGAAGUCCCACAUAGAAGUGAAACUGAACUAUUUAUGUCUUCAUACAACAUCUCUAUUAUAUUAAUACAUUUGUUUCCAAAACCAAAAAGCUCCAGUGCAUGUAAAAUACAUUUAUGUUCUACAGUGUCAAAAGCCUUGUAGAAAUCAAGAAACAAAACAAAACCAUCAUCCUUAAUCAGAUGUCUAUAAUCAAUUAAAUCCAAAAUAAGUCUAAUAUUGUUGUGUAUCAACCUGCCUUUAAUAAAACCAGAUUGAGUUUCACUUAUAACUUGACUUAAGCUAAAUUUUAAUCUGUUUGCAAACACAGACGAGAGAAUUUUAUAAUCAGCGUUAAGAAGGGUAAUCGGUCUGAGGUUAUCAAUAAUUCUCUUGUCUUUACCUGACUUUGGUAUAAGAAUAAUCAACCCCUGUUUCAUGGUUGGAAGUUGAGAUUUAAAUUCCAAACAUUCCUUUAAAGCUCCAAACAGCAGACCAUUUAUAUCCUCCCAAAAGAAUUUAUAAAAAUUGGUGGUCAAACCAUCCUGACCCAGAGAUUUUCCUAAAGCCAUAUCUUUAAUAACAGAAUCCAGUUCCUCCAUUCUUAGGUCUACUUCACAACUUUCUCUAAAUUCCGUAUCAAUCUGUGGGAUAAUAUUUUUGAUCUUUUCAAGAAAUGUAUUACUAUUUUUGUCCGAAUAAGAUGAUGAAUAAAUAUAUAUAUUUCCUCAGAUAUUAAUUUGGGGUCUGUGAUUACCUCAUCAAUAAUAAUUAAACUACGAACUGCAUUGUUUUCCUGUCUCCUCUUUUCUAAACGACAAAAGCCGUAUUCUUCUCCCCUUCUAUCCAUUUUGCACAAGAUCUUACAAAAGCUUUCUGUGGUUUCAUUAAAUACAAAUGACCUAGUUUAGCUUCAAGAUACUUUAAUUUAUCAUCUUCUGGAGACAUUUCCUGUGUAUUACAGCAGGCAUUAAUUUCUUGUAUUAAGUUUAAUUCCAUCUGCUUCUGUUUUCUACUCUUUCGUUUAGCAGACUUAAUUGAAAGUACCCUUGCUUUGAAUUUAAAGUACUCCCACUUACUCCCAUUAGACGUUAAGGUGAUGUCAUCCUUAAUCUCAAUAAUCAAAUUUCUUAUUUCCUUGCAAUAAUCUUUAUCCCUUAAAAGGUCUGCAUUAAACUUCCAAUAGUCUUUUCUAGGGUUAUUUAUUACUAUAAGACAGUGGUCUGUCAAUGGUGCACUGGAAAUUGAAACCUCAGUUUGUCCUGCAGAAUCCUGAAUAAUGUUAUUAAAAUGGUGACUAGUAUAACUAGAAGGAGAUCUAUCCAGCCAUUCAUCAGGUGCCAAGUUAAAAUCACCUCCAAUUAGCACAACAUUUGUAUGAAUUUUUUUUUUAAAACAAAAAGUGUGAUAACAUCAGUAGUAUUUGAAAAUAAAAUCUUGUUUUGUCCAUUACUAUUAUAACCAUAAACAUUCACUAAAAUAAGAAAAAUACCUUCAAUAUUAACCAACACAGCAAGCCAAUGCCCAUUAAGAUCACACUGAAAAGUCACAACAUUCCCAGGGCAGUUGUUAGGGCAUAUGGCGACACCUGCUGACCAAUUGGAGCCUGGACUAAACAAAAUUAUAUCUCCCCACUGCAUUUUCCAAAAAGCAGCAUCCUCUUCAGUAGAGUGAGUCUCUUGCAAAAAAACAAAGCGUGACUUCUGCCCUGCACAAAACAUAAAUAUACCUUUACAUUUUACUAUGUCCUUUAGUCCCGUUGCAUGUAACGAACAAAAAGAUAAACGGGACUUCAAAGAGAACAUACUCACCGGAACUCACAGUGAACAAACUACUUAUGCUAUUACAAAGAAGUCGAGAUAAGAAGAACGAAACUGCAACAGUUACAACAACAACAAAAAAGGCCUUCAAAAAUAAACACAAUUCCCAAUUUUUCAAAUUCCAUCAUCAGGCAAAAAUCUGCUUCCCCUCGAUGAAAGCAAAUGGCCCACGAAAGACCGCCACUUUUCUUUCAGCACGUGCUUGUUUAAUGCGAGGCCAAAGCGCUUCUCUAGCUUCUCUGUAAGUCCUUCGCGAAACGAAUGCCUGCCUCUUUACACACGGUUGAUCCCUUUGACAACACCCAAACUCUAUACAUUCUCUUUGAAAACUGAAUGAUGAUCUGCCGCAUGCGAUUUCCUUCCUUUCUGCCAAUUUGAUGAACCGUGUCAACCGCUUCUUCCAUUUCCCAGGGCACUCCAGGAGCAAUCUUUGAAAGCAGCGAAAUCACCUCUUCUCUGAUGUUCUCGUUCUGUUUCUCUGGAGAGCCUUUGAUGCGUAAGUUCCGACGCAUUUUGUAGCGAUCCAGUUCUCCUACCUUCGCUUGCAGAUCUUUACUUUCCUGUUUUAGAACAGAAAGAUCCAGAUCAAUUUCAGCUGCCUUCUGCUUGUGAGCUUUCAGCUACCCCUUAACCUCAGAGAUGACACUACAGUUCUCCUCCAACUUUAAUUCCUCCAAUAGAGUGAAUAGCCUCGAGGAUAUCCGCAUUAGAAAUCUGUUCCUCCUGCUCAGGACGCACUUUCUUCAUGACGUGCACUUUUCUGGGAGCAACAGUGCAGAAUCUGAUACAAGCCACAUUGUGUCCACUGCAUGGAGCAUGUCGCACUAAAUUGUAGGAGCCACAUCCCUCCACAGGUGUUUGAAGAGCAAUCAAAGGAACAUGAUAAGUAUGGUGGGGAUCCAGAGCAGCCUCAUAAACUGCAUAUAGUGACACGGGUUAAAAGCACAAUGUGACGACCCUAUUGGGAAAGAAAAGUUGUAAAGAGUUUGGGGCUUAUGAAGGUGGGCUGUGGUCUAUGUUUCCCUGCAUUGACCUUUGAGAAAUAUAAUACUACACUAAUAUUUAUAAUUUAGUAAAUCUUGUUUAUUGUCACUAGGCACAUGAACUCCGUAUCCACAAGAAUACCCUCUCUGUAAACAGUCAGCUAAAAAUAAUUAAGCAUCUUGUGAAGUAUGGCAUUUGCAUUUCAUCUUUUUUUUUUAAUAUAAAUUAACUUGAUUUUACACCAUACUAUUACCUAUGGAAAUUAUAUCCUUGUGUGCAGGAUUCAGCCCCUCAAGCUCCCUUAUGGACUACCUGCGUAGGAGGAUAUGGCUAACAAAUAUGUGACUAGCAGAGGGGAGCUGGUAGUGAAACAUCUCCUUAAACCACUUGACCAGAAAGCCAGUCAUAGUCAUAGGAUUUUUUUGGCCUACCGUCUGUGUUGUUUGUCUUUGCUGUUUGUUUAAUAAAGGUUUCAAUUAACUAAACAUUCUUUUUAAUUUGUAC